GAUGAAGAACGCAGCGAAAUGCGAUAAGUAGUGUGAAUUGCAGAAUUCCGUGAAUCAUCGAAUCUUUGUACGCACAUUGCGCCUUCUGGUAUUCCGGAAGGCAUGCCUGUUCGAGAGUCAUUAACAACCGUUUCGAUCCCUUUCUUUCAGAAAUUACAAAGAGGAAAAGGGUUUGGUUAUGGUGGAGGAGGGAAAGGGAGCGUUUAGCCUGUAAAAAAAGAGGCUGUGUUCCGCCUCCCCCCCAAAAUUGUACAGGCGGUCGUGUGCGCCCACGCAUCGAGGUGUUGUAAAAGCUGCCACGGCACUUUUCACCUGUGCAGUGCGAGAUUGGCCAGCCGGUUUAAAAACCCCUCCAAACAAUCAAAGGUUGACCUCGGAUCAGGUAGGGAUACCCGCUGAACUUAAGCAUAUCAAUAAGCGGAGGA
rnacentral:misc_RNA from 1 species